UAUAAAAGGGAGUAGGAUCCACAUUUGUGCCAAUCUCAGCCAUCUACACAAUGAAGAUCAUCAUACUUUUUGCACUGGCUAGUGUCGGUGUCUGCACGGAGUCUGGGAGCUAUGAUUCCCCGCCACCAGAGGAAUGCUCAACAUGUGAACCAUAUGUUCCCACAUUUGAUCGCUGUGAUGGCUUUGAAAAU